rnacentral:rRNA from 1 species
AGCUCCAAUAGCGUAUAUUAAUGUUGUUGCAGUUAAAAAGCUCGUAGUUGGAUUUGUGGCAGUCUCUGUGUGCCCUUCACUUUUGUUGUUGGUGCUACUCGGAGUCGCCAUCCUUGAAUGGAACCUGUGUGGCAUUAGGUUGUCGUGCAGGGGAUGUUCAUCGUUUACUGUGAAAAAAUUAGAGUGUUCAAAGCAGGCUUAUGCCGUUGAAUAUGUUAGCAUGGAAUAAUAAUAUAGGACCUUGGUACUAUUUUGUUGGUUUGCGCAUCGAGGUAAUGAUUAAUAGGGACAGUUGGGGGUAUUUGUAUUCCAUUGUCAGAGGUGAAAUUCUUGGAUUUUUGGAAGACAAACUACUGCGAAAGCAUUUACCAAGGAUGUUUUCAUUAAUCAAGAACGAAAG